UAGCAUCAUGAAAUCCCGCAUCUCGCGGUGUAGUGUUGUUUCCCGAGAAGGGGGUCGCUGGAAUAGUAUUCUCAGUCAUUUCAAUCUAAAUAUGGGUUCAGUGCUUAGCCGAAGAAUUGCUGGAGUUGAAGACAUCGAUAUUCAAGCCAAUUCAGCUUACAGAUACCCCCCCAAAUCAGGAAAUUAUUUCACCAGUCAUUUUUUCAUGGGAGGGGAAAAAUUUGAGACUCCCCACCCAGAGGGAUAUCUUUUUGGAGAAAAUAUGGAUUUGAACUUCCUAGGGAACAGGCCUGUUCAGUUUCCCUAUGUGACGCCUGCACUUCAUGAGCCUGUAAAGACCCUGAGGAGUCUUGUGAACAUCAGGAAAGACUCUUUACGGCUUGUCAGGUAUAAAGAUGAUGCCGACGGCAACAUGGAAGAAACAGGAAAUACCAGAGCUUUGUACGGUGUGGAGUUCUGUUUUGACACUGAUGCCAGAGUGGCCAUCACGGUGUACUGUCAGGCCUUUGAAGAGUUUUCUAAUGGAAUGGCAGUGUAUACCCCUAAGACACCAGCUAUGGUGUCUGAAUCAGUCCAUUAUAAGAGAGGGAUAAACCAGCAGUUUUCAUUGCCCUCCUUCAAGAUUGAUUUCACUAAAUGGAAACCAGAAGAGCUAAACUUUGACCUGGACAGAGGUGUGUUCCCACUGGUGAUUCAGGCAGUGGUAGAUGAUGGGGAUGAUGUCAUAGGACACGCUCAUGUUCUCUUAGCCGCAUUUGAAAAGCAUGUAGAUGGCAGUUUUUCAGUGAAGCCCAUGAAGCAGAAGCAAACAGUUGAUCGUGUGAGCUACCUUCUGCAGGAGAUUUACGGCAUCGAGAACAAGAACAAUCAGGAGAUAAAGGCUUUAGAGGACGAGAACAGUGAUAACAGCAGUGAGUGUGUGGUGUGUCUGUCUGACCUGCGUGACACACUCAUCCUCCCGUGCAAACACCUGUGUCUCUGCAAUGCGUGUGCUGACACGCUGCGUUACCAGGCCAACAACUGCCCUAUCUGUCGCCUGCCUUUUCGAGCCCUGCUCCAGAUUCGUGCAGUGAGGAGGAAAUCGGCCAGCUUGCGUCCUUCCGUCUCCUUCAGUCCAGUGCUCUCUCAGAGCUCAGACCACACGGACAACUUGAACUCUGAGUACAUCCCCCCGGGGUACGAGCCCGUGUCCCUGCUGGAGGCCCUGAACGGAGUGCAGCCCAUGUCGCCUGCCGUCCCCUCCGCCCCUCUGUAUGAGGAGAUCCAGUUCUCGGGCGACUUGAGUGACCCACUGAACCCCGGAAGGCGCCAGCAGGGUACGGUAGACACAGGACCAGGGAGAAGCAAAGGCAGCACAUCCCCAGAUGGGUCUGCACGCUCGACCUCCUCUCCUGUUCAGGAGGGGGGUUGAUAAGGAGAGCUGGCUGAGCUGCCAGAGGCCCAGCGGCGCCCUGGCCUGCCCCACAGUCCCGCUCCCUCCGAGGCCACAGUAGAUGUGGUAGCCUCUGAACCAGGCUCUCCUAACACAGGUUCAGAGGGCAGGGCUCUGGGCGUGUCUGUGAGUGAGAUCCUCCAGGACUGCCACAGUGCUUGCAGCAGCCUGAGCCGCAGUGAGAGCGAGCCCUCGGCAGACCUGGCCCUGCCUGGUGAGUGGACACACCCCUUCUCCGUUGCCCCACCCACCACCUGCAGUCCAGCCCAAAUCUGAACGCUACAGGCUUUAACAGCCUUGCUGCUGUGUGUACUGUAAAUACUGAGCAUGCUUCUAUUGAUGGUGACUUUGCAGAUCACAGGAGCAGUAAACCGAGCAUGCUCUGCAAAGUUCAGUUAUUUCGCUGUCAGCAGCCUUCUCCUGCUGUCUAAUGUGUGCUUACUGACGCUUGCUGGACUGCUAAUGACGUGCGUACCGAUUUUCUCUGACUGAACUACUUUUCCCCAUUCUGACACUUCUGUGCUUCUGUUCCGCCCUGCGUCCUAACCCUCUCCUAACCCUCUCGCUGUAAAUCUCACCUGGCUUUGCUCUCCCCUUGCUCAGCCUCUGAGUCCUGGUCAACCGCUGUGGAGGAAUGCUGAUGCCGGGUCGUCCGGGUCCACUGAGAGCCUGAAGAGCCAGAGCACCAGCAGCUCCAGACAGCCCCUGCUCUGUUUCCCCAGCAGCCUGCCGUCUGAG